CGGAGUGUGGCGCAGUUUGGCAGCGCGCGUCGUUCGGGACGACGAGGUCGCAGGUUCAAAUCCUGUCACUCCGA
rnacentral:tRNA from 2 species